GCUCGGCACAGCACGGGUCGACUCGGCUUGGCUCGGCUCUGCUGAAAAAAUCUGGCAAAAGUCUGGCGGAACAGGCUUUGAAAAAUUCUUCUGUCUUCUGUCCCGUCACGAUGGAUACCGCAGAGAGAAUCUGAUGGAAGUCUUGCCAAUGAGAGAGCAGAUGCACGUGGAAGUUUGCCCCUUCUCUUCCAGUGCCCAUGACGGAGCGCAGUGAAUAUGAGAAGAGAAAAUGCUGCAAGAAUUGCCAAAGGAGAGGCUGAAACAGGACUUGGAAAAGCAGGAAGAUUCAAAGCUCAUCCCGUCACGGUAGGGUUGCCAGGAGCUUUCUGUCCUUCAAAAGGAAAUGAAGCUGUUUUCAGCCAAGGUUAUGGAGACUUGGCUGAUUGGCACCGAGAGCUGAUCAGACAGUGACGAGACCAGUGGGAAAAGGAAGGAGUUGCUGCGCCGAGACAAGCAAUGCCCCCCCAGGUGAGGCCGCGGGUGCUGAGGAAGAAAGUGGUGAAGAAGGUGGUGCUGAGAAAGAAGAGGCCGAAGGCUCCAGGCUGCAGCCCCACCCCAGCGCUAGAGGAGGGACUGCAUAACUCGGCCCAGGGUAAAAUGACUCCACAGAAAGCAAAGCAGUGCAGAAUAGAGCACACAGCGAGGAGGAGAGAAACUCCUGGACGCUGGUUUGCUUGAGGACCUGCUGUGCCCUCUACUCCAUGUUCCGUUGGGUGUUUGGCUCCUAUGCCAGGCUGUCACUGCCGCAGCUCUGCUCCUUGCUGAUGUCCUGUUGCCUGCUUGAAAUAUACUUGUUGGCACAUAAUCAGCUGUGAAGGCCACAUCCCCUUUGUGUCAUGUCCUGCAGAUGUAGGAAGAAAGCUUGCUCGCCCCUGCCAAGUGAGUAAUGUAUGUAUUUCAGGGGUAUGGAUGAGUUUACUUAUUUGGUAGGCUUUCAUGUCCUCUUCCCUUCCAUGUCCUGUUGGUACAGGAAGUAGUUACUACUACAAAAAGUGAAAUAUUUUUUAUUUAAGGUAAAUUAGAUUUAAAUUUCAUCUGAGCAAUUGUAUUUUUUUGGAAGGUAGACAGAAUGUCCCUCUGACAGCAUGCUUUCUUUCAAACAGUGUUUUUCCAGACACUGUUCAUUCUUUGGAGAUGAGAACGUCUUGUGUUUAGUGUGAUCUGUGCUGAACAGAUGCCUCUUCUUCAAUCACUGCUGUUUGCAGCCUUUCCUUGUCCCAAAUACAAGGUCAAGCAGAGAGCUGGAGCCAGCUCCAAAUUAACAAGAGCUUUGACUGUUGUGAAGUCCAUAAUGACAUUAAAAUUAGAACUUGGAAAGUAAUAGAAUAUGCAUAAGAUUUCUUGGAAAAAGGCAUGUAAGUGGGAAAUAUAUUCUGUAACCAGCUUCUGUCUCAUUGCACAUGAUUGAUGGAGAUCACUCCCUCGUGAUGCCCAGGCCUGAUAAAGGAAGCUUGCUUUCUGAAACUCCAAAACGAGUCUUAGUUUAUUUGCUGGCAUUUUCUGUAUUGCCGUCUCCCCUUUUUAUGUGGGCCACUCAUUUCUUCCCCCAGGCUUUGCUUGCCUUUUGCUUUCUUCUUCCUCAGAGCUUGGCACCUUUGGUAGCUGUCUUUGGGUAGAUAUCUAUGAACAAGAAGAACAGUAAGCCUGGAGCGGUGCUGGCUCUGUUCCUGUACACAGGCUCACCUUGGACAUCUGAUGGUGUGCAUUCUGAGCAGGGGGUGGUUUGUUAAAAGGCUGAUAGAGAUCCUGAAUCAGUUCCAAAGCCUUCAAGGAGACACUGUGGGUGGGAAAACCUACCCAGAGGUCUGGGAACAGCCAAGGAAAGACUGACAGUGCAAAGAGAUUUUUCCUCACCCUCACAUCUGUGAAGCGAGUAUUGUAAUGAAACAGUUCCAUCUCUUGGUAAGCACAACUGGAAAGAAAGAGCUAUGGGAAUUCAUCUGGGCCCCAGGUCUAUGUACAUAUAUUUCUAAGCUAGCAGAUUCCUCUGAUUAUACCAAAAACUGGUGAUCCAGUGUCGCCAUUCAAGUGUCCUGUUCUGCAUGUGCUCUGAAUGUCUCUGUGUGGGGCCCUUUCUAGCCCAAUCUGUCUUUGUUCUCAGCCAGUGCUCACAAACAAUAGGGGCAGCCCAGACUGUUUGAUGAAGUCCACGUGCACUGGAGAAGCUGUUCUCCCCCAAAAUGUUUAUCUCCUCUCCUGGCAGGCAGCUGUUGUGAUGCUUUUCUGUGCCAAAUGAAUGGUUCCAGCUUUACCUCCUCAGCCGAGGAUGAAAGCUCACUUGAAAUCACCUACAGUGAAAUGCAGGGGCAUUGGCAGCUGGGUCAGUGGAGCACUGCCAUCUCCCAUCGUCACUCACAGACCUGUGUCAGACCAAAGUUCUGGGUGAGGAAGUUGUGCAAUCAGAUGGUUGUUGUCAUCCCUGUGUUGGACACUCGAUAAGAUCUCCCCCAAGCAAAAGAUGAGAGCGCUACCACUGUACAGAAACCAUGAGACAGCAGCAGAGGAAAGCACAAGCAUGCAGCUGACUGCAGUAAUCAUCCUCCACUGUGGAAGACUGCAAAAAGAAGGCUUAGCAAUGCAAAACCCCUGCAAGAUCCCUGUCUCAUUUUUGAUGUUUGCAUUGCCCCCAUCCUACUUGGCAACCUUGCUUUCUUUGCUAGGGCACGACAGUGAGUCCGGCUCACUGCAGCACCAACUGGCUGCAGGGCGAUUUGUGUCCCUCUGCCAGCCUUCCCUGAGCUGCACUGUUUGCAAUGACGACUCUUUGCUGCUGCAAGAGAGUGUUAUAAAUUCCCUGGCAUCAGGUCUGCCUACUGUCUCCGUUCCUGACAUCUUAAUAAUGGCACAUAAUUUCCAAGUCCCUCUCUGGACAUUAAGUUCCUUCUUUGAAAUGGCUCCUGGGUGCUUUGGGGUUUUACACUUAAACACUUUUAAAAUCUAGCUAACGGCUACUCUGUAUGGUGACAGGGUAAUGAAACCUGCUCUGCCAUUAAGGAGAGGGCAUGGAGGGACCUCCUCCUCAAUCUGCAUCUUCUGAUGCUGAGGUUAACCGUAUAACUAAUUUCCCCCGGCAAAACACAUUCGUCUGAAAAAGUAAGCAGUAUCUGUGUCCAUGUCAGCUUUCAGGUAAGCCAAAAGCAAUAGGUGUCAGCUUAUGAGGGAAAAGGAAAGGUAAUUGGUGUUUUUUUCUGUGCCAGUAGGUUUACUUUAUGAGAAUGAAAGCUGCGGGUGGUGCCAUCUCCACUGAAAAACACAGGCCAUCAGCAGCCACAAUCAAAAAACAGGAGCAGCAAGUGGGAGGAACCCAGCCUUUGAUGUGAGGCAAAGCUAGAAGGUGGGCAGGGGUGCAUUUGCCACUCGGAGAGAUCACAGCCUCAAAGUCUGUACUCUGUACUUCAGCUGCCUCCUCUCUGCUGCCAGAAAUCCUAGGCAUGGGAGAAACAGUGGUGGAAACUCCCACUAGAUCACUGUCCCACCUCAGGCAUGCGUGGUUUAGUAGGCCUUGACACACAGGAAUCUGCAGGCAUACUGGAAAGUUAACAGUGGUUCUGGAGACCGAGUAGGAGUGAAAAAAACCACUGAGCUGUAACAUUUUCUCUUUAUAGAGAGAUCUACAAAAGCAGCCCCCAAGCACUGACACCAAUUCUAUGGGAUGUUCCCUGGUUCCGCUGAAUUCCACUGAAGGUUUGUCAGAGGUUUUAAUUAGAUCAAUAUGUUGGUGCCCAAGUUUCACUGCAGAAUUCUUCCUGAGAUUGUGAUUAACUCCUCAGUCACUUAAUUUCUCUGAAGUGCUUCCUGUAGCAUUGCUCACAGUGCUGGGCAAUUGAUUUAAUUGGGAAUACAUUAAAGGUGGGCAUUACUGAGGCUGUUGGGCACAGGCAUUUCCCUUCUUUGCUUCACUGAGUUCCAGAGUGAGUGCCAGGGGAGGUUGAGGUUGGAUAUUAGGAAAAGGUUCUUCACCAGAGGGUGGUGCAGCACUGGAACAGGCUUCCCAGAGAAGUAGGCAUGGCGCCAAGUCUGACAAUAUUCGAGGAACAUUUUGGACAAUGCCCUCAGCCACACGGUGUGAAUGUUGGGGUUGUCCUAUGCAGAGACAGGAGCUGGGCUUGGUGAUCCUUUUGGACCCCUUCCAAUUCAUUCUGUGAUUCUGUGACCUAAGGCAGCCUUUUCUGCUCAGCAGUCCUGCACAGAGGACCAGCUCCUCCAGUCACUUGAGUUAUUGUGAUACGAACCAGCUGUGGAAAAGACCCAGGGCAUAAGAAGUAUAGGCAAAAAACUGCUUGCUGCACUGCAUUUCCCUAUGUUAGAGGAGGAUUAAUUAACGUUUUCAGGCUGCUUUGAUAAUUAAAAGCACCAUGUGGCACAAUAUUGCUGUUCCUGUAGCUGAUACGAAGCAUGCCCCUUACAAACCAGUUGGGAAUGGCUGUUGGCAUGUUUGGUGGUUGUCAGCAGAGCUGCAGCAGCGUGCUGCUGUGUUCUGAUACAUGUGCCUGCCUCACCCGCCCCGUCCCCCCUCCUCUAAGCUCCUCCGUGAAGGAAAUAAACACAUCAGUCCCUGGCACCAUCUGUCAAGCACAGGGUAAUCCAUUCCCUGCUUGUCUCAUGUUCAGUUUGCUCUCUUUCUGAGUGGUCCAGCCACCCUUCCUGUUGCUAGGAAUUUAAUACAUCCCCUCCACAGGCGCAGGGUGGAGAACAGUGCUUGGGCAAACAUCCAGCCCCCCGGUAAGGCAGAUAGCAUCGUGCUCCCACUUAUAAAGGGAAAAUGAGGCAAAAAGAACUAUCAGACUCACCCAGG